GUCUUGGUAGCACAACGGUUACGCAUUUGGCUGCUAACCAAAAGAUUGGCAGUUUGAACCUACCCAGUGGCU
rnacentral:tRNA from 1 species